AAGCACAUCAAGGCGACUUCGGUGUGGGACAAUCCAGUUUCCACGCAUGCUAAUUUCAAGCUAACAAGCCAAAAGUUAGAGCCAAAUUGAGAAGUGCUAAAUGCUUACAUUGUUUUGAACAAGCGCCAAGCAAGAGCGAUCACUUUUGCUCAACAGCUUCACGUCCAGCCAGGGGAACGAUGCUACAUUCAGGUACCCAUGGGAAAUGUUCCAAUCUCAUUGAAAAACGACACACUGACGAAACUAAAUGGACGUA